UCUUGAGUGUAAAUUUAGAGACCGGAGGACUACGAUUAAUACUUUUAAAACUCAAAAAGCUUGGCAGUACUGUAGACUAAUUAGGGGAACUUGUCCCAUAAUCGAUAAUCCACGUUGUACCUGACCUGAACUGGUUAAUCAGCUUAUAUACCGUCGUCGUCAGGUAACCCCUAAGGGAUAUAGCAGUCGGCUAGAGAACUAAUUAUUUCUCACGUCAGAUCAAGGUGUAGCUAAUGUUUAGGGGAGGAUGAGUUACAAUUAUGAGUUUUAAUUACGGAAUCCUUUAGGAAGCUUGUAGGAAGAAGGUGGACUUAAAAGUAAAUGAGGGUAUAUAAACUCAUUGAACCUAGCUCUGUAGUGUGUACAUAUCGCCCGUCACUCUCGCUGAAAAGUGAGAUAAGUCGUAACAUAGUAGGGGUAACGGAAGUUGUUCCUAAG
rnacentral:rRNA from 1 species